AUUCAAAGAAACUAAUUUCUCCUUCAAUUGGAACUUGGAAUGAAAUUAUAAACUUGUUUUCAUAUCAGUCUGUUGCUAUGGAAGUUACUGAUGUCACACUGUAAGUAUUAUGACUAUCAUAAUGUCUAAAUAGGCAGAAGACCUGGUUGCUAAUAGAAAUCCAAGGCAAAAGUCACAUAGCUUUGGGGACUUUUAGGCUUUAUGAACGGGUUUUUGUUAAAUGGGUAGAGAUUUUAGUUCUCUGAUGAAAGGAUUAUCUGAAUAAAACUGAUUGAACCUGAGGCCGAGGAGUUUGGAACACUGGAUCAUGACUUGUAUAAAUCUAUAUAAAUCAAUUUCUGUGCCAGGGAAUGAAUAGCCAACUUCAUUCAAAUGCCAAUUCAGCAAUUACAAAGUCUGCUGGCAGUUAAUUAAAAACUACCAUCUCAUUAUAUUCAGAGGUUCAAUGGCUAAAGAAGAAGAUGAAAUUCCCAUUAGCAUGGAGGAUAUUAAAAAUCUGACAGACAGUGAAUUGCAGGAACAGCUUAUGAACCAUGGAUAUAAUUCGGGGACAAUAAUACCUUCCACCAGACGGGUUUAUGAGGAUAAACUGCUACAGUUAUUGACCACUUCAAACCCAUCCACAGAGCGUAAGGUUAAGAAGAAAACUAAAGAGCCACCUCAGCAUCUGGAAGGAGAGGAAGAGGAAGAGGAUGUUGAUGUCGUUUUGGAAAAAAAGAUCAAAAUCUCACCAAGAAAAACUAAACGACCCAAAAAAGAGAAGUCUUCAGUUCAAAAAUCAACAAAACGAAUGAAUUAUGAAAUAGAAGAGAGUAACAAUCUUGUACCUCUUCAUAAAAAGUUAUCUUCAGUUCAUUCUGUGGAUGGUGAUAUUGACAUCUAUUAUCCUGAUCCCAGCACUCACAGAGGAAUAAGGAUUACCAUAAGAAGACCAUUAAAAACUAAAAGAGAGGAUUCACGAACAAUGUUGGAAGAUGUGAAAAUUGUAGAAAAGAAAAUAGGCGUGAUUUCGGUCGCCUUUAUAAUUGCUGUAUUGUUCAUUUUCACCGUGAUACUUUUUGUCUACUUAAUCAUGGAAAAGAAGAUUGGGUGCAGGAACUAGCUCCUGGGAUAUAGUAUACAAGCCAGAGGAGAACAAGGAUACCAGACAGCAAUCUUUGCUUUUCAGACUACAUACCAAGUACUGGUUCAGAGAGUGGGUUCCUUGGAUAUCAAAUUCCAGAAACUAAAGCAAUAGUCCAUUUUGUUCACACACCAACUCAACUGGUUAAACAACUUUGUAACCCUGAGAUCACUGGCCUGGAACCAACAGUUAGUCCAUAAACCUUUUUGUUUGACAAGGCUUUAAAAAGUAAGAUUCCUUGCCCUGGCCACCUUCAAGGCUAUAAGGGAAAAAUUAUUCUUCCUUACCUCAAAGGCCCAGCAGCUUGAGGGAAGGCUUGACCUGCCGGGGUAAAGUAAAGAACAAUGCCAAGUCUUCUGAGUUCUUCAGGGCACAUUUGGGUUUUGCAUGAAGGCUCAAGACAGUUGCCUUGGUGACUCCACUGAGAAUAAAGAAGGAUCAAAUAAAGGAAAGCUGGAGAAU
ensembl:lncRNA